UAAUUUGAGAGUUUGAUCCUGGCUCAGGACGAACGCUGGCGGCGUGCCUAAUACAUGCAAGUCGAACGAACUCUGGUAUUGAUUGGUGCUUGCAUCAUGAUUUACAUUUGAGUGAGUGGCGAACUGGUGAGUAACACGUGGGAAACCUGCCCAGAAGCGGGGGAUAACACCUGGAAACAGAUGCUAAUACCGCAUAACAACUUGGACCGCAUGGUCCGAGUUUGAAAGAUGGCUUCGGCUAUCACUUUUGGAUGGUCCCGCGGCGUAUUAGCUAGAUGGUGAGGUAACGGCUCACCAUGGCAAUGAUACGUAGCCGACCUGAGAGGGUAAUCGGCCACAUUGGGACUGAGACACGGCCCAAACUCCUACGGGAGGCAGCAGUAGGGAAUCUUCCACAAUGGACGAAAGUCUGAUGGAGCAACGCCGCGUGAGUGAAGAAGGGUUUCGGCUCGUAAAACUCUGUUGUUAAAGAAGAACAUAUCUGAGAGUAACUGUUCAGGUAUUGACGGUAUUUAACCAGAAAGCCACGGCUAACUACGUGCCAGCAGCCGCGGUAAUACGUAGGUGGCAAGCGUUGUCCGGAUUUAUUGGGCGUAAAGCGAGCGCAGGCGGUUUUUUAAGUCUGAUGUGAAAGCCUUCGGCUCAACCGAAGAAGUGCAUCGGAAACUGGGAAACUUGAGUGCAGAAGAGGACAGUGGAACUCCAUGUGUAGCGGUGAAAUGCGUAGAUAUAUGGAAGAACACCAGUGGCGAAGGCGGCUGUCUGGUCUGUAACUGACGCUGAGGCUCGAAAGUAUGGGUAGCAAACAGGAUUAGAUACCCUGGUAGUCCAUACCGUAAACGAUGAAUGCUAAGUGUUGGAGGGUUUCCGCCCUUCAGUGCUGCAGCUAACGCAUUAAGCAUUCCGCCUGGGGAGUACGGCCGCAAGGCUGAAACUCAAAGGAAUUGACGGGGGCCCGCACAAGCGGUGGAGCAUGUGGUUUAAUUCGAAGCUACGCGAAGAACCUUACCAGGUCUUGACAUACUAUGCAAAUCUAAGAGAUUAGACGUUCCCUUAGGGGACAUGGAUACAGGUGGUGCAUGGUUGUCGUCAGCUCGUGUCGUGAGAUGUUGGGUUAAGUCCCGCAACGAGCGCAACCCUUAUUAUCAGUUGCCAGCAUUAAGUUGGGCACUCUGGUGAGACUGCCGGUGACAAACCGGAGGAAGGUGGGGAUGACGUCAAAUCAUCAUGCCCCUUAUGACCUGGGCUACACACGUGCUACAAUGGAUGGUACAACGAGUUGCGAACUCGCGAGAGUAAGCUAAUCUCUUAAAGCCAUUCUCAGUUCGGAUUGUAGGCUGCAACUCGCCUACAUGAAGUCGGAAUCGCUAGUAAUCGCGGAUCAGCAUGCCGCGGUGAAUACGUUCCCGGGCCUUGUACACACCGCCCGUCACACCAUGAGAGUUUGUAACACCCAAAGUCGGUGGGGUAACCUUUUAGGAACCAGCCGCCUAAGGUGGGACAGAUGAUUAGGGUGAAGUCGUAACAAGGUAGCCGUAGGAGAACCUGCGGCUGGAUCACCUCCUUU
rnacentral:rRNA from 1 species